rnacentral:rRNA from 1 species
ACUCAAAUGAAUUGACGGGGACCCGCACAAGUAGGGGAACGUGUGGUUUAAUUCGAGACAAAACGAAAAACCUCACCAGGGUUUGAAAUGUAUGUUUUAGGAUCCUGAAAGGGAAACAAACCGCAAGGUAGCAUACACAGGUGCUGCAUGGCUGUCGUCAGCUCGUGUCGUGAGAUGUCGUCUUAAGUGACUCAACGAGCGCAACCCUCAUCACUAGUUGUAUCACUCUAGUGAAACCGCCCCGCCUUUUGUUCGCAAGCAAACAAAAUUCGAAGUGAAUUUCGAAUCUGCUUGUUGAUAGAAGGCGGGGAGGAAGGCGAGGAUGAUGUCAAGUCAUCAUAGCCCUUAUGUCCUGGGCUACACACACGUUACAAUGCAUAGGAACAACGGGCUGCUAGCUCGCGAGAGUACGCUAAUCCCUAAAAACUAUGCUCAGUUCAGAUUGUAGUCUGAAAUUCGACUGCAUGAAGAUGGACUUACUAGUAAUCGCAAAUCAGCAUGUUGCGGUGAAUACGUUCUCGGGUCUUGUACACACCGCCCGU